rnacentral:rRNA from 1 species
GAGGAAUUCCUAGUCACAGCACGUUGCAGUCGACCCAAAACUCCCUCAAAAAGCAAGCGUCACAGUCUUGACCAAAAUAGCCUCUCUCUCUCUCUCUCCUGCCAGGAAAAAAAAACACAAGCCCUGUUCCUACGAUACGAUCUCCCCAGAUCCCCUCCCCGUCCCCGUCCCCGAUUCGAUUCCCCGCAUCGGCCGCUUUGCCGCCGGUAGGAUCGGGGCCGGUGGAGCGCGAUGGCCGCGCCGCCGGCUAGGGCCCGCGCCGACUACGACUACCUCAUCAAGCUCCUCCUCAUCGGCGACAGCGGUGAUUCUCCCUGUCCUCCUGCUAGAUCUCUCUCCCGGCCUGCCGCGGGCUUCUGUACGCGAGUGCGCAAUGGUGUUGGCAAGAGUUGCCUCCUCCUACGGUUCUCUGAUGGCUCCUUCACUACUAGUUUUAUUACUACAAUAGGUAUUGACUUCAAGAUAAGAACAAUUGAACUGGAUGGCAAGCGCAUUAAGUUGCAAAUUUGGGAUACAGCCGGUCAAGAGCGAUUCAGGACUAUCACGACAGCAUACUACCGGGGAGCCAUGGGAAUCUUGCUUGUUUAUGACGUCACGGACGAGUCAUCUUUCAACAACAUACGGAACUGGAUACGCAACAUUGAGCAACAUGCCUCUGAUAAUGUGAACAAAAUUUUGAUAGGCAACAAGGCUGAUAUGGAUGAGAGUAAAAGGGCUGUUUCUACUGCAAAGGGACAAGCACUAGCCGAUGAAUAUGGCAUCCAGUUCUUUGAAACUAGUGCCAAGACAAACCUCAAUGUGGAGCAAGUUUUCUUUUCCAUUGCCCGAGAUAUUAAGCAGAGGCUUGCUGAGACUGAUUCCAAGCCCGAGGACCGGACGAUCAAGAUUAACAAGACAGAAGGUUCUGAGAAUCCAGAAUCUCAGAAAUCUGCCUGCUGUGGCUCAUGAGGAGUACGUGGACUUCACUACCAUGGGCUGUUUUAACUUUAUCUGUUUAUUACUGUCAGCUUGUUAUUAUAGGAACUGUAAGACUUCAGGAGAUGACUAUGUUGUGGUUGUUCUACUUGUGUUACCUUCUAUAUUCUUUGCAGCAGCAACUAUUACUUUUAAUGUAGUUUUUGUGAUUUCUAGGGGUGAUUGCAUGUUGUAUUGUCAUCGUGAGAACCAUCCACUUUCUGCUGAUGUAACUGCAUUUCAGUUUUUCAAUCUGUUGAUUGCUACAUCUGCAAAACUCC